rnacentral:rRNA from 1 species
AUUCCGGUUGAUCCCGCCGGAGGCCACUGCUAUUGGGAUUCGACUAAGCCAUGCGAGUCUAUGGUUUCGGCCAUGGCGGACGGCUCAUUAACACGUGGUUAACAUACCCUCAGGUGGGGGAUAACCUUGGGAAACUGAGGAUAAUACCCCAUAGAAAAAGCAGUCUGGAACGAUUCUUUUUCGAAAGCAUAUGCGCCUGAGGAUUGGACUGCGCUCGAUUAGGUAGUUGGUGGGGUAAUGGCCCACCAAGCCUACGAUCGGUACGGGCCUUGAGAGAGGAAGCCCGGAGAUGGGGACUGAGACACGGCCCCAGGCCCUACGGGGCGCAGCAGGCGCGAAACCUCCGCAAUGCACGAAAGUGCGACGGGGGGAUCCCAAGUGCUCAUGCACAGCAUGGGCUUUUAUCAAGUGUAAACAGCUUGAGGAAUAAGGGCUGGGCAAGUUCGGUGCCAGCAGCCGCGGUAACACCGACGGCCCGAGUGGUGGCCACUUUUAUUGGGCCUAAAGCGUCCGUAGCCGGUCCAGUAAGUCCUUGUUUAAAUCCUGCGGCUUAACCGCAGGACUGGCAGGGAUACUGCUGGACUUGGGACCGGGAGAGGACAAGGGUACUUCAGGGGUAGCGGUGAAAUGUGUUGAUCCUUGAAGGACCACCUAUGGCGAAGGCACUUGUCUGGAACGGGUCCGACGGUGAGGGACGAAAGCCAGGGGCGCGAACCGGAUUAGAUACCCGGGUAGUCCUGGCCGUAAACUUUGCGAACUAGGUGUUAGGUGGGCCCCGUGCCCAUCUAGUGCCGAAGGGAAGCCGUUAAGUUCGCCGCCUGGGGAGUACGGUCGCAAGACUGAAACUUAAAGGAAUUGGCGGGGGAGCACCACAACGGGUGGAGCCUGCGGUUUAAUUGGAUUCAACGCCGGGCAUCUCACCAGGAGCGACAGCAUGAUGACGGCCAGGUUGACGACCUUGCCUGAAGCGCUGAGAGGUGGUGCAUGGCCAUCGUCAGCUCGUACCGCGAGGCGUCCUGUUAAGUCAGGUAACGAGCGAGACCCGUGCCCUAUGUUGCUACUUUUUCCUCAGGGAGAAAGGCACUCAUAGGGGACCGCUGGCGCUAAGUCAGAGGAAGGAGCGGGCAACGAUAGGUCCGCAUGCCCCGAAUCUCCUGGGCUACACGCGGGCUACAAUGGCUAGGACAAUGGGCCGCAACCCUGAAAAGGGACGCAAAUCUCCUAAACCUAGUCGUAGUUCGGAUCGUGGGCUGUAACUCGCCCACGUGAAGCUGGAAUCCGUAGUAAUCGCAGUUCAUAAUACUGCGGUGAAUGUGUCCCUGCUCCUUGCACACACCGCCCGUCACACCACCCGAGUUGGGUUGAAGUGAGGCCUUGGCCUUUGGCUAGGGUCGAACUUGGGCUCAGCGAGGGGGGUGAAGUCGUAACAAGGUAGCCGUAGGGGAACCUGCGGCUGGAUCACCUCCU